UCCAAUCCUAGGCUGCCAAGGCUUCCCCCACCACCAUCAGCAACCUCACCCUGGAGCAUGCUUCCAGAUUCUUUGUGGCAAAGCAUGCCCACAGCUAAGGAGUCGGUGUUACCCUGCCUGUCAGCUAGUGAGGAAAUGUGGAGGAGUUGAGAAACAGCUAUGGUGCUCCUAGAGGAGCCUGCAUGUCUCAGCCUUAACAGGAUUUCUGUCGUGCAGAAAAGGCAUGGCAUCUCAUGAUGAUAGGCUGCUCUGUGUCACCCCACCCCUGAGGUGGAGGUGGCAAGGGCUCCUUCAUCUCCCUGUGUUUGUUCUCACAACCCAGACAUGUCCUGCGUCAGACCCCGCUGCCUUUCUCACUGGGAACCUGUCAGAUGCUAGUUUGAAACCUGCCUUUGAGAUGGAUGUGGAAGAAGGGAAGGACUUUGGUGCUUGAGUAGUCUGUGUCUGAAACUGGCCACGUCCAGCCAUGGGCCACAUCAGUUUGCUGUUCUACAGAGCUACUCAAGACAGACAGUGGGGCUGGUGGGUGGGUCUUCAUUACUCCCAACCCUGUAGUGUUCCCUCUUGUGUGCCUCAGAAGACAAAGUAAAUAUCAUCACUUUUGGGGUUCCUGAUGGUAGGAGUGAAGUCUGUGUCUAAGUAACUUAGAAAACUGUCUUAUCUGGAAGGUGGCCUGUGUGCUCCCUCUGUGCAGGGAGUCACCUUCCUCCUCCUUGAGCUAAACACAGAGGUGUGCUUUCGCAGCUGGCUGUAAAGAAAUGAGACCCAGAAUGAACUGUGUACGUGUUAGUCCAGCUCACUUCUGACGUGUCUCAUGGGACCCCUAACAUCAUAAGGUCACCAUUCGGAGACUGGCACACCUGCAAGUUCCACCUCUGGAGGGUACAGGACACUUGUCAUCUUAUAGAAAAGGCCAUUCUGUAAUGGAGCCCAAACUCCAGAGUCCACAGAGGUCUUCUUAAUGUUUGCAGUUGAGAGGUUCUUUCUCCCAUUUCAGCCGCCCAUGAUAUAAGAAUUAGUUGUCAACCCGUGUUUGCAUUGUUUGCAUGGCUCUGAGCUAGGUAGUGUGGAAGGACAUGUGAGGUAGAAGACAAGCCCCUGCCCCGAGGGAACUGUAAGGUGACUGUUGCCCAAGAAGGGGUUGGAGCAGCUUCAUUGGAGCAGACCGUCAAGGGCCAUCUUCAGAUCGAGCGGCAUGAUCAGGGUAGACCACAGGUAGCUCUGGGAGAGCUCUGGUGAUAAGGCUUUGGGUUGUAGGUGAGGACACUGUGACAGAGACUCAAACUAAAGUACAGAGCAGAAAUGUGUGGCAAGUGUGCAGCUGCCUUAGAUCAACGGCAUCAGAGUUCUGCUUGUCGGAAACUUCCUAAUGGCUGGACAGGUCUGAAGGCUAAGGGGAAUGAGGGUGUGGUGGAGGACAAGGCCAGAAGUCAGGAAACACCUCUCUAGUCCUGGGGUUCCCUGUGGAGAGUUUCUAGAGUCAGGUGCGAAGCAGACCUACCUGCUCCAGAGCAUGGCGGCCUCUCGCUUCUGUCCCAGGAAAGCGAGUUGCACUGUGUUUAUGAGCCUCGAUAUUCCCGUCACAGGCAGCUGGCCUGGCCCUGCCUCUGCAGGAUGGGCUGCAAAACAGCAGUGUGGACACAGCUCUAGGAGGCCUGGCCUGCUGCCCAGGAGGUCUUGUUAGAAGGAAUGAGCAAUUGGGGAGAGCAGUUGAGCUGCUGACUGCACUGUGUGCUGCAGGCUGGGGGAGAAGGGUGCAGGAGCAAGGCCAGAGGGCACUGGCCUUUCAGCUUUUGCUGAUGGUGGGGCAGUGCUAAUGGAAAUGCAGUCUGCAGAGGGGACUCAACUUGUCUUUGGUGGUUAUGUGCCAGUCACAAACUGGAAAGGAAAGGCAGUCACUUCUAGAGACCUGCUGUGGCUUUCUGAGGUGUGGUUGGGGGUGUCACUACUCCCAGACUCAGCCUGUAAACCUUCACUCAUAACUGAUCUACUGUAACCUUCCUCAAGACGGGUAUGUUGAUGUAAGCUAGUGACAACUACUGCUGCAACCUGUGGUUACUUGAAAUGUGUGUCUGUGCUGGCAGUGUAGGCAUGAGGGAGCAGGAGCUUGGCUGUGAGGCCAACUGUCCUGAUUUGAUUGUGGUCUAGUACCAAGGUGAAGUAAACGUGGAUAGCAGUGCCAGCCUCUGAGUCCAAGCAGGGAGUUAUGGGAUGGCUACACAGACCCUCUGAUGCAGGUCUCUGAGGACUAGGAAAUAAUCGGAGUACAGCCCUACAAGGGCCCCAGGGAGCCACCCUUUCAGCCUUGCUCAUGCCUGCUUGAAGCCAGUAGGAAGUAGGGACAGGAAAACUUCCCCAGGCAAGAUCUUCCUCCCUUCCCUUCUCUUGUUGCUUUUCCCUUACCUUUGAGCGCAGGAGUGAGAGGCCAGGUCAGAGAGAUGGAAAGAGCCACACAGGUCUAGAAUUCUGCGUGAGCGUGUGCCCUCGUUUGUCCGAGUCUUGUCUGUGGUUGGGGUGUUGGGACCAUUUCCACUAGUGGGGACUAGGACUCACUUUCCACUUUAAGAGAAUGGCAAUGCCCACUGUGUGGAGGGAAGAGCGUGAGUUAGACAUUUUCCCUAUGGGAACCCUCUUGGUUUGGUUUGUGGGGAGAGGGGAGUGGAUACAUGGUUUUUAUUUCUAGUCAUCAACACAGCUGUCCUUACACUAAAUCUGUGCUAUUGCAUACAUGUAGCCAUCUUUCUUUUCACUGCAGCAGUGUUUAUCAGUAGUUCAAAAUGAUUUAUUUGCUCCUGGGGAGUAAAACUUUUUUAUUAAAAAAGAAAAAAGAAAAAAAAAAAAGAAAGAAAGAAAGGUGUGCCCCUUACGAUAGCUGUAGAAUUAUUGGGCCACAAGAGUCACGUCUGCCAGUCCCCUAUGGUCACCCGUCUGUUUUGGCAUUGGAGCCCUUGUGCUUCAAUGUGUCAGUGUGUGUGAUGGGGCCUUCCUUGAAAAAGUGGAGAACAGCAUCUUGGGAGUGAGAUUGGGUUUAAUCACUGAGAGGGCUCAGGGGACGUGGUACUGCAGUUGAAAAUAGAGAACUGAGUCUAUAAUCUGCCAGAGAAAGGGACCUUUCUUUACAUGCAGAUUUCAUGUGUCCUUGAUCUUUCAUUGCUUCCUGGUGUCCUAGGUAGGGGUCACCUAGUUUUGGUGUCCCUCUUGUCUUUCUGUCCUUUGUCCUGUCCCUUCCCACUUCAUCUACCUCCCAGAAAGCCAAUCCUGCAUGCUGAGUUUGUGACAUGCCUUCACUCCAUUUCAUCUUGAGAGGGUUUUAGAGAGUCCCUGGAGUUGCUCCCUGCCCCACUGAUCCCUCCUCAUAGUGCCAAGAGGCAUCAAGGAGCAGACAAGCAGCCGGGCAGACAGCAACAUGGCUCGCAGCUGGACUGCGACAGCAGCUGCUCCUGGAGA
rnacentral:lncRNA from 1 species